rnacentral:lncRNA from 1 species
GUGAGGGGGUGGGAGGCGGGGGGCUUCACAAACUAAUGUGCUGCUGGCCUGUGAGUCAAACUUCAGGCUUUGGAAAGUUCAGUUUUGCUUCAACUAUGCAGGAAAGAAAAUGGGCUUCCUCAUCGAGACCAGGAGCUGCUCCUGCCACAGUCUGGUUCUUCAUCUUUAACCCUUCAACACUCCAGCUCAAAUGGACUUGGGCAAAGAAUCAAAGUCGGGAUUGAAGCCGAGACUGCAGCUUACAGCUCAAGCUGCCAAGGGGGCUACCAGUCUGGAAGCCGUCCAUGUCCCCCGCCCCAUGCCACCUCAGCAGCAGAGCUGAAUGUGAGCUCUGGCAUAUCCUGUCUUUCCAGAUCUACAAGUGUGACUGGGAUUUUUUUUAAAAAGUGACUUAUGGUGUGGCUAUCGAUACUACUCAACAGGAGUUUUCAGAAAACUUGCGGCUGCUGUCUCAAACCAGACUAGACGAAGAUGCUUCAGGAGUCCUAGGAAAUCAGCUAGAAGUAUACCGGAUGCUUUCUGAGUCUGCUGGGGG